rnacentral:rRNA from 1 species
UACGUAGGUCCCGAGCGUUGUCCGGAUUUAUUGGGCGUAAAGCGAGCGCAGGUGGUUUAUUAAGUCUGGUGUAAAAGGCAGUGGCUCAACCACUGUAUGCAUUAGAAACUGGUAGACUUGAGUGCAGGAGAGGAGAGUGGAAUUCCAUGUGUAGCGGUGAAAUGCGUAGAUAUAUGGAGGAACACCGGUGGCGAAAGCGGCUCUCUGGCCUGUAACUGACACUGAGGCUCGAAAGCGUGGGGAGCAAGCAGG